rnacentral:rRNA from 1 species
GCGGGCAGUACAAUUGGGUAACCCGAGUGUACUGCUAGCGGCGGAAGGGUGAGUAACGCGUGGGUAACGUACCCUGGGCACGGGGAUAGCUGGCCGAAAGGCUAGGUAAUACCCGAUGACGUCGGUUUGGGGCAUCUCGAACCGAUCAAAAGAUGGCCUCUGUUUACAAGCUAUCGGCUUGGGAUCGGCCCGCGUCCCAUCAGCUUGUUGGUAGGGUAACGGCCUACCAAGGCUAAGACGGGUAGCUGGUCUGAGAGGACGACCAGCCACAUCGGGACUGAGACACUGCCCGGACCUCCACGGAGGGCUGCAGCAACGAAUAUUCCGCAAUGCGCGAAAGCGUGACGGAGCGACGCCGCGUGUGGGACGAAGCCCCUCGGGGUGUAAACCACUGUCAGGGGGAACCAAGCGGAGGAGGCGAAUAGUCUCCGAAGUUGAGGGAUCCCAAAGGAAGCCACGGCUAACUCUGUGCCAGCAGCCGCGGUAAGACAGAGGUGGCU